rnacentral:lncRNA from 1 species
GGAUCUCCCGGGAUACCGUCUCGUAGUCCCAAAUAUAAAUGUGCAGGGGAAUAUCCUGGAAUAUCGUUCCGUAGUCCCAAAGUAAAUAUUCAAUCAAAUCAAUAUAUACAACAGUCUCAAGAAGGAAGUCUACAGUUCAAGUUUGUAUCAAAUAAAUAGGUAAUUUCUACCCUAAACAUAAUACACAGAAUCCAAGUAAACAAUUAAAGCAGGUAAGACAGUUAAGUCACGUAAGCAUGCUUUCCUAAGCUAAAUAGGAAGCUUCAUAUACUGGUAUUGCUCAAUUUAAAGGAAACCAUAGAUAUUUGCUUAAUGAAAAUGGGGGUUUUCAACAAUUAGCACAGGUACGCACUCGUCACCUUACGUACACGGCAUUCAUAUAACAACAGUACCAAAAUCCUAAGGAGAUUUCCCCCACACAAGGUUAGGCAAGCCACUUACCACGAACCAAGCUAAAAUCAAUCCUAGGUAAGCCUAAUCAAUUUUGGGAAAAAUGAAUUAAGGUUACAAAACUAGCCAAUUAACAGGUAAAUAUGAUAAAAAGUUUAAAAUGCCGCUCGGCAUAUACAAUAAUAACACUCUCGACUGAACAUAGCACUCCCAAAACCCGAAAUCUCAUGAAUCACAAACUAAAGAAAAAUACAGAGUGUUCUCACUCCAGAAGUCUAAACAAAGUAAAAUACAAGAAGUCUAUAACUGAAGGGAGAAUAGAGAGGGAAUUCUAGGUCUGCGGACGUGGCAUAUAUAACUCGUAGUCUUUGGAUCACCUCGCCUCAAGGAUAGUAUGGCUGAGCAGAAGAACCUGGAUCUGUACACGAAAAACAUGUGCAGGAAAGGGCAUGGGUACACCACAACGGUACCCAGUAAGUGCCAAGCCCAACCUCGGUCGAGUAGUGACGAGAUUAGGUCAGGGCCCUAUAGAUUAUAUAUAUAUAUAUAUAACAAGGUAAAAUAGUAUGAAAGGUGAUAGUAUAAUUAAGAUACUAUCAGUCAAUAAAGAUGAAAUCACAGAAAGAAAUAACUCGGUACAAAGAGAUAGCAGCAGGGGAUCUCCCAGGAUAACGUCCCGUAUUCCUAAACGUAAAUGUACAGAGGAUCUUCCAGGAUACCUUCCCGUAAUUCAAAUCAUAAAUGUGCAAGGGGAUUUCCCGGAAUACCAUUCCGUAAUUCCAAGUAAAUAUCGAGUACAGGGGGAUCUCCCGGGAUAUCGUCUCGUAGUCCCAAAUAUAAAUGUGUAGGGGAAUAUCGUUCCGUAGUCCCAAAGUAAAUACUCAAUCAAAUCAAUAUAUACAACAGUCUCAAGAAGGAAGUCUACAGUUCAAGUUUGUAUCAAAUAAAUAGGUAAUUUCUACCCUAAACAUAAUACACAGAAUCUAAGUAAACAAUUAAAGCAGGUAAGACAGUUAAGUCACGUAAGCAUGCUUUCCUAAGCUAAAUAGGAAGCUUCAUAUACGGGUAUUGCUCCAUUUAAAGGAAACCAUAGAUAUUUGCUUAAUGAAAAUGGGGGUUUUCAACAAUUAGCACAUGUACGCACUCGUCACCUUACGUACACGGCAUUCAUAUAACAACAAUACCAAAAUCCUAAGGAGAUUUCCCCCACACAAGGUUAGGCAAGCCACUUACCACGAACCAAGCAAAAAUCAAUCUGAUAUCACGCCCUUGCCAUGAGUAUCCAACUCCGAGUGGCCCAAAUCUAAUCAAAUCAAUUACAUAACGUAAAUAAAACUACAAGCAACUAGUUUAGCUAAUGAAUUUAAAGCUAAGAUGAAAAAAUAGGAAAAUGCCCAAAAAUCCUCCCCGGGCCCACGUCUCGGAAUCGGGUAAAAGUCACAAAUUAUGAACAUCCAUUCACCUAUGAGUCUAACCAUACCAAAUUCACUCAAAUCUGGUACCAAAAUCUCGAUCAAAAUCCCAAAAUUAUGCCUAAGAACUUUUCUCAAUUCUCCCAAAUUUUUCAUCCCAAAUCCGAAAUUAAAUGAUAAAUUCAUGUUUAGAUUAAUGGGAUAUAAUAAAAAAAGAAUUAGGAAUCAUUACCCACAAACUUCCUCCGAAAAUCUCCAAAUUUUGCCUUCAACCGAGCUCUCAAUCAAUUUUUAAAGUUAUGAAUUCAAACCCUCAUUUUUGAACUUUAAAUUCUGCCCAGAUGAGUUUUUCUUCGCGAACAUGAGACUACUAUCGUGAACGCGAUGAACAAAAUUUCACUGGCACAAAUUCCUCCUUCGCGAACGCGAGGGUCCUCUUGCUAACGCAUAGCUUACACUGGCGGACCCUUCGCGAACGCGUAGGCUUAAGGUCCACACCUUCGCGAAUGCGGGAGCAUCACUGCGAACGCGAAGUACAACUUAGCUGCCUCUCCCAGAUGCUCUACGCGAACGUGAUGAAGGAUUCUUCUGCAAUAAAACACCAGAAAAUCUGCCACUUCCGUAAGUCCAAAAAUGACCCAUUGAGCAUCAGAAACACACCCGAGGUCCCCAGGACCUUAACCAAACAUACCAAUCAAUCCUAAAAUAUCAUACGAACUUAGUCAAAACCCUCAAAUCACAUCGAACAAUGCUAAAACCACGAAUCACCAAUCCAAACUUAAUGAACUUGAAAUUUAAAAAUUCUACAAUCGAUACCGAAACCAACCAAACCACGUCCGAUUGAUUCUAAAUUUUGUACACAAGUCAUAUUCAACACUACGAACCUAUUUCAACUUUUGGAAUUAGAUUCCAACCCCGAUAUCAAAAUUUCCACUAUCGGCCCGAUGUUCCAAAAAUUUAACUUUCGCCAUUUUAAGCCUUAAUAAGCUACGGACCUCCAAAACACAAUCCGGACACGCCCCUAAGCCCAAAAUCAACCAACGGAGCUAAUGGAAUCGACGGAAUUCUAUUCUGGAGCCGUCUUCAUACUGCUCCGACUACGGUCCGAAUUCUAUGACUUAAACUCUCAUUUAGGGACUAAAUAUCCCAAAACACUGCGAAACUCAAGAUGAACCAUCCUGGCAAACCACAAUAGCAGGAAAAGACACAGGGAAAGCAAUUAAUAGGGUAUCGGGGCGUUAAUUCUCAAAAUGACCGGCCGAGCCGUUACAAUUUGGCACAUUUGCUCCAUCAACAACUCAUCCUUCAGCAUUUUUAAUAACAUUAUAAAUGACUUAUUGCUCAACGACCCAUACUUUUUAUGUGAAGCAGUUUAAUCAAACUGGAAAGCUUUGAAAUUUUCGAAUUUUGGUGUAGUGGCUUUUCGAAAUCUUUUAACAGGCUGUAAAACCUUUUGGCUUCAACAUUCAGUUCCUCAAGUAAAUCAUUAUAAUUAACGUCUAUAGUACCUCCAUCAUGAUUAGGAUAUAAAUUCCUCAGCAUUUCAUGUAUUUCAUCCUCAUCCACGUAAUCUUCUACUUUAUUAUCAUCUUCAACUUCGCAUUCCGACUGUGGCUCACCCAAAACUUCACCGUGAUGAUACCAAAAGGUAUAAUUUCGAAUUAUUCCAUAUACUUUUAAAUGUAUAUCGACUGUCACAUAUUCCUAAUAGUGUUAUAACAUUUGACACACGGAUAACAUAUUUCAUAAAAUUCUCCUGUUCUUCUAAAGGUAUAAUCCAAAAACUUUUGCACCCCAAUUAAAUAGGAUUCAUCAAGUCGGUUAUCAACAAGUUGCAUCCAUUGCUUACUUGGUGUCAUAACCUUGAAAGUAAAUUAAAAAAAAAGAUUUAAAUAAUUAAGAUAACAAAAGUAUUAAGAUGCACAUUACUUAAAAAAAGUACUAAGACGCACAUUACUUGUUAUCAAACUUGUUACACUCAUCUUUAUGACUAAACUUCCUACGAUUUCACAAGAAUGAAAUAAACUACAAGUUGAUAUGCAUAACAUAUAAUACACAAUUGCUUAAGAAAAUGUGAAAUUAAAACACAUAAGACACUUCAUAGCUAAAUCACUGAGUUUCUGUCUUAAAUGCUAGAUGUAUAGAAAGCUUGCAUUUCAGCAAGGAUAAGCUAGUUCGUACAACUAGAAGGCCAAAGAUAUGUGAUUUUUAUUUUAAUAGAUUGGUGCAUACUUGUUACUUCAGGUGCUUGAAACUUAAGAAAAGAAUAAGCAGAAAAAUUUCCAUAGUAUUCUAUUGGUUCAGAGUGAUGCAGUGGCAUAAGUUGAGGUUCAUGCUCUUAUGGGCUCUGUAAGUUAAGUGAAAACUUAAAAUGGUCUUCUGUGUAGAUUCAAACAUCAUAUGUCAUUGAAAAACUGAUGCUACCACACUGAUGUAGACCGCUUAUAAACUGGAGUAAUUUUCUAGUUAAACGAUCUUUUCAUCUAACAACCAUUGCAGCCUUCCACACUUAACGAGUAUUAAACAAUUACUAGCAUAUAAUGGAAGUUUUAAAAUGGUGAUUCAUGGUCUAUUUGCAAUAUCGUCUAAGAAUCCUUUGUAUUGCAUCAUCAGUUGUUGACUUAGCUUGAUGAGUGGGUCUAGUGUAUGUUUUCUGCUUUGUAAAGCUUUGCAAGAAUCUAAGAUACAACAGCUUAUUAAAGGCAUCCUCUGCAAUAAAUCUAGAAAUAGAUAGCUGAUUAUUGAAAUCAUUAUAUGUCAAAUGGUACUGUUUAACUAAAGCCAACAAAGAUAGCAGACUGUAACUUAUCACAACUUAAUGUAAACAAAAACAACUACUACCCUUCGUCACAACCAAAUUAGGAUCGACUAUUUAUAUCCUCACUAUCCAUCUCAUGCCAUUUAAGACCGUAUCAGUCCAAAAUGAUCACAACUUAAUAUACCACCCAUAGAUCUAUUAUUACAAGAGGCUCGAAUAUGUAUUAAUUCCGGAAUUGUGUAAUGCAAAUCGCAAAGGAGAAAACUAUCGCAGAGACGAAACUCUAGAAGAAAACUCAAAUUUCUCCUCCUUGACCUAUGAGCCCCAUCUUUAAACCAAUACUCUCAGUUUUAUCGCUCACACAAUAACUAUCAGUACUCUAAACAACCAAAUUGCAAAAAACAACUAAAGAAACAGAAAAUUGCAGAACCCGAUUUACGAUUUCUGGUUCAAUAAAAAAAAUGCAAGAUGAAAAAAAAUGAAAACGAAGCAGAUAAAAGAGAAAGAAAUUAAACUUACUCUUGAUAGGCAGAUAAUCCAAUAGUAGAGUUUGUGUAAAGUCCCUUGGAGAGAGAUCAAAAUUUUGACGCCAAAGUUCGGAGUGAUGAAUUUUGCAAGCUUCUGAAUUCUGACAGAUGAAUUUUGCAACCUUUGUGAACUUAGAAAAGAAUUGAAGUUGCUGCAUAAUUAGGGAUUGUAGCAUGAAAGUAAUAUUUUUGGAGAGAUUUUAGGAUGAAAGUGAAUGUCUAGCGAGAUUUCACAGUGAAUAUAUUUUAGGAGGGUUUUAUUUGCUUUACUUUCAGAUUUCCGCCCCU